rnacentral:rRNA from 1 species
UACGGAGGGGACUAGCGUUGUUCGGAAUUACUGGGCGUAAAGGGUGCGUAGGCGGGUCUUUAAGUCAGGGGUGAAAUCCUGGAGCUCAACUCCAGAACUGCCUUUGAUACUGAAGAUCUUGAGUUCGGGAGAGGUGAGUGGAACUGCGAGUGUAGAGGUGAAAUUCGUAGAUAUUCGCAAGAACACCAGUGGCGAAGGCGGCUCACUGGCCCGAUACUGACGCUGAGGCACGAAAGCGUGGGGAGCAAACAGG